CCUACGGGAGGCAGCAGUGGGGAAUAUUGGGCAAUGGGCGAAAGCCUGACCCAGCAACGCCGCGUGAAGGAAGACGGCUCUCGGGUUGUAAACUUCUUUUGUCAGGGAAGCGUAGAAGACGGUACCUGACGAAUAAGCCACGGCUAACUACGUGCCAGCAGCCGCGGUAAUACGUAGGUGGCAAGCGUUGUCCGGAUUUACUGGGUGUAAAGGGCGUGUAGCCGGGUUGAGAAGUCAGAUGGGAAAUCCUGCGGCUUAACCGCAGAACGGCAUUUGAAACUGUUGAUCGUGAGUACUGGAGAGACAGACGGAAUUCCUAGGGUAGCGGGGAAAUGCGUAGAUAUUAGGAGGAACACCAGUGGCGAAGGCGGUCUGCUGGACAGCAACUGACGGUGAGGCGCGAAAGCGUGGGGAGCAAACAGGAUUAGAUACCCCGGGUAGUC
rnacentral:rRNA from 1 species